rnacentral:misc_RNA from 1 species
UCAAACUUGGUCAUUUAGAGGAAGUAAAAGUCGUAACAAGGUUUCCGUAGGUGAACCUGCGGAAGGAUCAUUAACGAAUUCAAUCCAGCCUUUUGGCUGUGCAUUAACUUGCACGCCGCUUGGUCUGGCUCCUUGAUUUCACACACCUGUGCACCUUCGGGCUGCACUCUCCUACUACCAGCGCUUCACGGCGUUGGUAGAACCGUUUCGAAUUUCGGUUCGAGAUUCUGAGCGUUCGCCGCAAGCUUUUGUCCUUACGGCCUCGCUCGAGGGAGGGAGCAGCUGGCUUUUUUACACCUUUUCGUAUGUCUUUGAAUGUAUUAGGUCGCCCUGUGAUGGGGUGAUCUUUAAUUUUAAUACAACUUUCAGCAACGGAUCUCUUGGCUCUCCCAUCGAUGAAGAACGCAGC